rnacentral:tRNA from 1 species
ACGGGAUGUAGCGUAGUUGGUAGCGUAUCUGUUUUGGGUACAGAAGGCCGUAGGUUCAAAUCCUAUCAUCCU